UCUGGACAACCAAAGCUGACUUCCUGCAGAAACCUCCCUCUCCCAAGGCUGGAGGGAAGGCUCAGCAGUUUCCAGCCCUUACUGCUCUUCCAGAGGACCCAGGUUCAGUUCCCAGCACCCAUAUGAAGCGUCUCAUAGCGACCUUCAACUCCAGCUUCAGAGGAUCUGACAUUCUCUUCUGACCUCUUGAUAAAACAAGAUGUUGGUGUGAUUUACACUGAAGGAAGCAUGAAAGGAUGCUGGCCGAAGUAGCACAGUAACACAUCCCAGCAGUGACCUCUGAGUGGGGCAUCCCUCAACAUAAAGGACAAUCCCACAGUGCAUCUGGACUAUUGCAGACCUAAGUAGGUGGUCGGGAAGGGUAUGUGGGUGCUCCUCACAUCCUGUCACUCACACUGUCCACAUCUGGAACUCCACAUCUGGAAAAGUGCCGACGGGCAGAUGUGGCCACCCAGGCACUGAUGCAUGUCAUCACUGACAUCCAUGAAGUCAUCAGCUGUAGCAUCCUGUCUACUGUGGUCCACUGUGGUCCUUGCUACCAUAGGCAAAUGAACACUAAUACUCCCGGGGAUACCAAGUUCUCUUCCUUACAAGUCGGCUUACCUUGGAAGACUCUAGCUUAGAUACAGUGCAAAGAAAACUGUUUCACUUCCAAUUUAUUUAGAUUUUACAUUAUGUGUA